rnacentral:misc_RNA from 1 species
UUCUGAGAACAAACUUCCGA